rnacentral:rRNA from 1 species
GCAGGCGGCCGCGAAUUCACUAGUGAUUAGAGUUUGAUCAUGGCUCAGAAUGAACGCUGGCGGCGUGCUUAACACAUGCAAGUCGUACGAGAAAUCCUCUGCUUGCAGGGGAGAGUAAAGUGGCGCACGGGUGAGUAUCGCGUGGGUAAUCUACCCUUGAAUUCAGGAUAACAUUUCGAAAGGGGUGCUAAUACUGGAUAACAUCCUGAUGGUUUCGGCCAUAAGGAUCAAAGAUAGCCUCUACAUGUAAGCUAUAGUUCAGGGAUGAGCCCGCGUACCAUUAGCUAGUUGGUGGGGUAAGGGCCUACCAAGGCAACGAUGGUUAGCUGGUCUGAGAGGAUGAUCAGCCACACUGGAACUGAAACACGGUCCAGACUCCUACGGGAGGCAGCAGUGAGGAAUUUUGCGCAAUGGGGGAAACCCUGACGCAGCAACGCCGCGUGAGUGAAGAAGGCUUUCGGGUCGUAAAGCUCCGUCAAGAGGGAAGAA